ensembl:lncRNA
CGGGGGCAGCGGGGACGCAGGCCCUGGGCGGCGUCGGCUCGGCGCACGUGGCGCUCGGCGCUGCGCAGCCGGAACGCGGAGGGUGGGGUGUCCGCGGACCCGAGAGGUUUGCGGAAACUCGGCUGCCCGGCGCCUCCGGUUUGCACGCACUCCGAGCUCCCACGCAGCAUCCCGUCCUAGGGAAGCGCCGCUCAAUCCUGACCCCAGCUUGGGAACCGAUCUGAGCUUGACUUCUGCCUCUGCUCCGCCCGCAGUCUCGGGACCGCACACCUCGGCCCGCAGGCUAGGACGUCUCCUGCAUCGCGCUGGGAUCAUCAUUUGGGCUAUUCCCCUGAAGUCAAGCAUGAAAUCUAUUUAGCUGGAGAGCUACCCAUUUCCUCUGACCUGCAGAAGAGAUGCCCUGUUCUUUCAGAAUCGCUGGAAUGCCAGAAUCUGAAGAAAACUGGAGCCACAUGCCUGGGCCCCUUGAGAUCCUCCCAUCCCUACUCCAUGCCAAAGGAACAUGCUGACAGAAAUGCAGCGGACUUGCAGUGCUUGACCCAGAAGCACAGCUGCCGAUUCAUCGGCAGAGGUCAUUGUGUGACUUUAAGUUGCUAUGGAUUUAAGAGCGUCUCUUAUCAACUGGGGUAUUUAAAUCUCUUUUGUCCCUGGGACCUUUUGGGCAGUUUUGUAAAAACCUAUAGGCUCCUCAGAAAAGAUGUUCUUAAAUGCCCAAAUGAUAUUGAAAUCAAGUUAUCAGAAUAUUUUAAAGAAACAAAUUUAUGAAGUAGUUAUUAUAUUUUGCUUUCUUAUUUAACCCAAUAAAUGAAAAAUCUCAUGAUGGGUCUAAUAAAUUAUAUAAUAUUGAAAUAGGGAAUAAGUGUGAAUAAUAGUUCAAACUUAUCAACAAUUAUAAUGUGAUAUGAAGGAUCUGUGAUUUUUAUUGCUGACCAAGUCACAGGGACAGCCAAUGCUGUAGUUUAUUGCCUAUGUACAUAAUGAAAAAUGCUAGUUUGUAGAAAUGAAGAUGUAAUUUUUUUCACAUCCAAGUUUAUUAACUUCUGCUUUUAUUUGAUUGCAUUUCCUAUCACUCCCCUUCCAAGUGAAG